CAAGAAGAAAAAGAAAUCAAAGAGCCAGGAUUGCUGAUAUGGACAUGCCAUCAGUGAUAGCUGGUUCUUAUAAGACUUGGGGAUGAAGCUAAGUUGCCCUUAGCCCCAUGGGUGAGGUCGUGGAUGUCUGCUGGGAUUACCAUAGUACACUGCAUAUCACCUUCUUUGUAUGUGCUUCGGACCCCAGAGGGACAUCAGGACAAAGGGAAGGACAGGCCUCAGGCAAGAGGUUCAGAGAUGUUCCACAAGGGGACCCAGGUUCCCAGGGAAGAGAAGGGGGAAAGACACAACUCCCAGAAGGCGAUGGAUAGGGAAAUGCAGGGCCAGGAGAAAAUUAACAGAAGAGAGGCCACAUUCCCUCUUCCCAGGCUGGCCCAGUGUGAUUUCCUGACUCACCUGCCCUCUGGCUUCCCUACCAAUUGGUCUAGUUGGAGGCAGUGUUGGAAGAUCAGAGGUGAGAACAGGAGAGCAGAGGCCCACCAGGCAAUGGCUUUACCCAUGGCUGGUCACCAGUCUAUACAUUUUACAAAGAACAUGGAGAGCUCUGGUUAAUCUGGCUACUCAAUCAAACAUAGGGUUGGAAGGGAAGGACUCCCAGAUGGUGGAAGUUUUAAAUGGAAUGAACCAGAUUUCUGUGACUUUGCAUGGGAGAGACUUCCA
rnacentral:lncRNA from 1 species